AUCCUUCAAGGACAUCCGAUAAAAUUAGAAUGAUACAGAGACGAUUAGCAUAGGCCCUAUGCAAGGAUGACACGCAUAAAUUGAGAAAUUGUCCAAAUUUUU